GAUGAACGCUGGCGGCGUGCCUAAUACAUGCAAGUCGAGCGAACAGACGAUGAGCUUGCUCCUCUGACGUUAGCGGCGGACGGGUGAGUAACACGUGGAUAACCUACCUAUAAGACUGGGAUAACUUCGGGAAACCGGAUCUAAUACCGGAUAAUAUAUUGAACCGCAUGGUUCAAUAGUGAAAGACGGCUUUGCUGUCACUUAUAGAUGGUUCCGCGCCGUAUUAGCUAGUUGGUAAGGUAACGGCUUACCAAGGCGACGAUGCGUAGCCGACCUGAGAGGGUGAUCGGCCACACUGGAACGGAGACACGGUCCAGACUCCUACGGGAGGCAGCAGUAGGGAAUCUUCCGCAAUGGGCGAAAGCCUGACGGAGCAACGCCGCGUGAGUGAUGAAGGUCUUCGGAUCGUAAAACCCUGUUAUUAGGGAAGAACAAAUGUGUAAGUAACUAUGCACGUCUUGACGGUACCUAAUCAGAAAGCAACGGCUAACUACGUG
rnacentral:rRNA from 1 species